AAGAUAAGCUACAUAAAGUGAGAUAAUUUAACAAGAACAUGUGAAGAAUAAUUGAUCAAACAGGACUUAGAGAUAAGACUCAGGAAGAACAUGCUUUUCAAAUAUUUGAAGAUAAAAAAAGUAGGCCAAACAGGCUUUAAAACAAGAUAGAAAUCAACAAAAUACUAUAUAAAAUUAAUUUUGUCUCAGCUCUCCAUGAAGAUGAAUGGCUUUAGAAAAUACCCAAGUUCUUGCUUCCUAAGAAGGAACUAUUUGUGAAUUUGCAUAGAAUCAAAAUGUUCUAUAAAACCCAUCAAACUCAAAUAUUAUAAAAAAGGCAACAUUAGAGAUAGCAUUGUUAAUGCAUGUUUUAUUUGGAGUUCAUGGAAAAAAAAUCCUACUUACCCAUAUCAGAGUCACCUCCACCAGAAGAGUUCAACUUACGAAAAAUUUCCUGUUUCUUUGAUUUAACCAUGGGUGAUGUGCUUUCAAGCUUGGUGAAGAAUGAAGGCAAGUAGCUUAUACUUCCUGGUGAUCGAGAAUCACUCCUGUCAGGAAUAGAAUUCAAUCUAUUAUAACCAUGUACCCUAGGAACACUCCUUUAAAUAACAGGUACAAAAUACUCAGAAAACUACUGCCUUCCAUUCUGUGUUGGUUACAAACCGUACAAAGCAUAUGUGACCAUGAACUCAUAAAGAUGAUCCACAGGACUGCCUGCCUGCCUGCCUGUCUGUCUGUCUAUCUAUCUAAUGAUUUUUAGCUCUGAGAAGUGAAAUGGUAAAAUUGGGAUUAAAAGGAAGAUGAUAUACAGUUCUCUCUAUCUGGUUGGUUUUUUGAGACAAGAGUCUCAUUAUGUACUCUUGACUGUCUCACUUUGUAGACAAGAAAGGUCUUGAACUCAGAUCUGCCUGCCUCUGUCUCCUCAGUGCUGGGAUUAAAGGUGUGUGCCACCCACCAUGCUUGACUAAUCUACAGCACAAAUUCAUAUAAGAUAAAAUGGCAAAGUAAUAAUUGGAAAACUUAUCAACGUUGUUGUUUUGUUGUUUUCUUGCGCUUCACAGCUCAAACUAUGGUUAUUUAAGCUAGGAACUAACUUACUAGCAGCACUGUCUUUUAAGUACCCUAGUUGUGACUAAUGACACACUUGUCUAUAAAAUAGCAAAAGCCAAUCACUGGUUGGAUCCUAGCAAAAUAGCUGCAGUAUCUACAUAAAAUGGCCUAACUAUAAGACAAACAACAGAAGAACUGAGUCUUAAUACAAAGAAUCUCGUAUUUCAUUGGUAGCUUCUAUAUUCAAAGUUCAGCAAGCUGCUUUGACAGAGAUGGUAACAGAACACACCACUGACAACCCCAUCAAGUCAUAUGUGCUCAUUUACCACUGAAACACAACAACAUUAUCUGUGAACAAAGACAAAGAGAGAAAAAAAUGGUUCCCAUGCAUAAAAAUCCAAUUUGGGAAAACAUAUGAAUGUAUAAUUAUUUUCUUCCUCAUUUCAUUGAAGGUAAUAACAUGUAUUAUAUACAAUAAAUACUCAGAAAUUCACCAGCAGAGUCAGACCUGGCUUAAAACUGGACUUUCCUCUCUGUACAAGGUUUGGCCACCAUCAAAUCCUGUCUCUAGUGUAUUAAAUACCAAGAAAACUGUUCUUUUGAAGAAAAUGAACUGAGAGAAAAGACAACAGAGAAUAUAACGUAAGGGAGAGACAGCAGGAAAUGAAGCUUUGUAAGCCUGGCCCUGAAGGAAUGCAAAUGCCACGCUAGCAACUGUGUUCUGCACAUUGUGUCUCAGCUAACUCUGGGGACAAAUGAGGACUGCUCUGUAAUUCAGGUCAACGUGGU
rnacentral:lncRNA from 1 species